rnacentral:piRNA from 1 species
UACGAUGAAACGAAUAAGCGAUUUUUU